UUAGAGGUUGGACUGGAGAGAUUCAUGGAAGAGUUGUUUGUGAUGUUUGUGCUGAUUCUUCUGUUGGUCCAGAAGACCAUGUUCUAGAAGGUUUCUUCUUUACUCUUAUACUGGUGUAUGUUGUAGAUUAUUUUUUUCGAUUUCUCGUUCGAGAACUACGAUCUUUACCACUGAAACUUCAGUUUCAGAUUAAUCGGAAUGAAUAGCAAAACUUUCUAUUUAGGACAAUGAAAAUUGUGAAAUUUGAAAAAAAAAUGAAGUAGUUUUUGUUUUUGUAAGUGAAAAAUGGUUUUUGGGAUUUGGGUUUUGCUUGACCAUGAAUAUUAAUUGGAGUUGUUUUUAAAUUUUUAUGAGUGAUUUGGAAUGAAAAAGUGAACAACUUUUUAGUGUUUUUCGAAUUUCAGAAUUUUUUGAAAUUUUAUGGCUAAACAUGAUUUUCGGUACUCAACCCCCAAAAAAGUAAAAAAUGUUCAUGGACAAAUAGCCACUAAAUGAGUUGGGUAUAGAACCUAUGGUUCGAAUCCGUUGUUAUAUGUUUGUUUUUAGCUUUUGUUGUUAUUGAUGUUCUAGAGCUUUGGAUGAUAGUUGAGAGAUUUACUAAUUUUAUUGAUGGUCAGAAAAAUCGGGGUAGGGGAAGGGAAAAUUGGGAGGGGUGCAAGGUGGGAAUUAAACUCUCGUCAGCGAGUUUUGAAGUUUAGAUAGUCAACCAAUUGAGCUACUAAGAUUCUCCAAAUUGUAGUGAUUUUCAGAAUCAUGUUGGACAUUUUUUAUUUUUUUUUGCUUGAUUAAAUCAUUGUUAUAUUUUAUGCUGGAUGCUUGCUGAUAGUUUCAGAAAAGUUGGCCUGCUUUAAGAAUUUGUGUUCUCAAAGCCAAAUAUACGGGUGUUUGUACCGUAUGGAUCAACUAAAGUUCCAAACUUUCAACUCUGUUAUCAGCCCUAGGCCGUUUUGGAUAACUACGCGUAGCAUACUCAUCUGGCUCCCAACAGAUGAGACCAUCCUUCUAUGUCAUCCGGAAGGGAAACCAAGUUAUUUCUUCAUUUCUAUUUAGUUACUCUUUUCAUUUUCUAACUUGGUUGGUUAAAACUAAAGCACUAUGUUCAUGAACCUAGUUACAAGUUACAAGUAAGCUAAAGCAUUGGAUGUCCUAAUCAUUGAGUUCUUAUUACUCCUUCCAUCCCGAAUUACUUGUCAUUUUUUGCUUCUCGAGAUUCAAACUACAUGAACUUUGACCCAUAUAUUAAGAUGUAUUUUUUCACCGUAUUGAUAUAAAAAGAAUAGCAACUUAUUGUACUUCCUUUAUAGUUUUCAAAUAGUAGUUUUAAAAUAUUGAAUUUAUCUAAACCAAUAUAGCUCCGAAGAUUAGUCAAAUUGACUCUUGAGAAGCGAAACGUGGCAAGUGUUUUGGGAUAGAGGGAUGAGUGAGUCACUGAUUAGACAAUUAAUGCAAUAAAAAAUCACAAGAUUCAUUGGACUUCUAGUAAAUGGUGCAUCAAAUUAUAGAAAUCAAUUUACUUUGGGUAAUCUUAUGGUGACAUUGUUAAGAAUAUUUGAGAGCAUGUUUUUUGCUAACCAAUAAGAUUUGAACUCUGAUGGACUAUUUGUUUUAUUUGAUAUUCGAUGCUAAAUAUGUAGUGAAGUAAAACAGAUUCGUGAAAUAAUGAAGAGGACUAAAUAAUGCUCUCUGUUUCCUCUCCUUCCAUGUACCUAUCCGUAUGCACUUACAUAGAUAUAUAGGCUAAGCAACCCUCUAUACUUUGUGUGCUCCAGGGAAAGAAGUUAUUAUUUACCAAUAUUGACACCAUAAAUCUAUCUCCUUUUCCUGGAACUGUAUAGAUUAGAAUAUCUCCCGUUACAAAGUUCUGUUGAAUUUGUAAAUGCAAAAGUGAAAGCUGAUGGGCUUGGAAGCACACGGAAACUCUUGGGAUGUGUAUUCAAGUACUGACGCAUUGCACUGGUGGAACACCAUCACUGUGCAUGUUCAACAUCACCCUUAAUCUCAUCCGUGAGGAUAGAAAAUUAAGAGAAUCUUACUGCACCAGUAGACUAAG
rnacentral:lncRNA from 1 species